UUGAAUGGCCGCAGUAUUUUGACUGUGCGAAGGUAGCAUAAUCAAUAGUUUCUUAAUUAGAAGCUGGAAUGAAAGGUUGGACGAGAAAAUUACUGUCUCUUUAAUAAAUUUUAAAAUUUUAUUAUUAAGUUAAAAUGCUUAAAUAUUUUUAAAAGACGAGAAGACCCUAUAGAGUUUUAUAAUUUAUAAUAUUAUUUAUAAUUUAAAAUUUUAUAUUAAUAUUUUAAAUUAUUUGGUUGGGGUGAUUAAAAAAUUUUAUAAACUUUUUUAUAAUAAUUAACAUUAAUUUAUGAUUUAUUGAUCCAUUAUUUAUGAUUAAAAGAUUAAAUUACCUUAGGGAUAACAGCGUAAUUUUUUUUUAGAGUUCAAAUCGAUAAAAAAGUUUGCGACCUCGAUGUUGGAUUAAAAUUUAUAUUUGGUGUAGAGGCUAAAAUAAUUAGGUCUGUUCGACCUUUAAAAUUUUACAUGAUCUGAGUUUAAACCGGUGUAAGCCAGGUUGGUUUCUAUCUUUAAAUAAUAAUUAAUAUUUUAGUACGAAAGGACCAUAUAUUAUUAAUAAUUAAUUUUUCUAUGAAUAUUAUU
rnacentral:rRNA from 1 species